rnacentral:rRNA from 1 species
GAAACGACUGCUAAGACUGGAUAGGAAAUAAAAAGGCAUCUUUUUAUUUUUAAAAGACCUUUUUCGGAAGGUAUGCUUAAAGAGGGGCUUGCGUCACAUUAGUUAGUUGGCAGGGUAAAGGCCUACCAAGACUAUGAUGUGUAGCUGGACUGAGAGGUUGAACAGCCACAUUGGGACUGAGACACGGCCCAAACUCCUACGGGAGGCAGCAGUAGGGAAUUUUCGGCAAUGGAGGAAACUCUGACCGAGCAACGCCGCGUGAACGAUGAAGUAUUUCGGUAUGUAAAGUUCUUUUAUUGAAGAAGAAAAAAUAGUGGAAAAACUAUCUUGACGAUAUUCAAUGAAUAAGCCCCGGCAAACUAUGUGCCAGCAGCCGCGGUAAUACAUAGGGGGCGAGCGUUAUCCGGAAUUAUUGGGCGUAAAGGGUGCGUAGGCGGUUUAAUAAGUCUAUAGUUUAAUUUCAGUGCUUAACACUGUCCUGCUAUAGAAACUAUUAGACUAGAGUGAGAUAGAGGCAAGUGGAAUUCCAUGUGUAGCGGUAAAAUGCGUAAAUAUAUGGAGGAACACCAGAGGCGUAGGCGGCUUGCUGGGUCUUUACUGACGCUGAGGCACGAAAGCGUGGGGAGCAAACAGGAUUAGAUACCCUGGUAGUCCACGCCGUAAACGAUGAGUACUAAGUGUCGGGAUUACUCGGUACUGAAGUUAACACAUUAAGUACUCCGCCUGAGUAGUACGUACGCAAGUAUGAAACUUAAAGGAAUUGACGGGACUCCGCACAAGCGGUGGAUCAUGUUGUUUAAUUCGAAGAUACACGAAAAACCUUACCAGGUCUUGACAUACUCUGCAAAGCUAUAGCAAUAUAGUGGAGGUUAUCAGGGAUACAGGUGGUGCAUGGUUGUCGUCAGCUCGUGUCGUGAGAUGUUAGGUUAAGUCCUAAAACGAGCGCAACCCUUGUCAUUAGUUGCCAGCAUGUCAUGAUGGGCACUUUAAUGAGACUGCCAAUGAAAAAUUGGAGGAAGGUGAGGAUCACGUCAAAUCAUCAUGCCCCUUAUGAUCUGGGCUACAAACGUGAUACAAUGGCUGUUACAAAGAGUAGCUGAAACGCAAGUUUAUAGCCAAUCUCAUAAAAGCAGUCUCAGUUCGGAUUGAAGUCUGCAACUCGACUUCAUGAAGUUGGAAUCGCUAGUAAUCGCGAAUCAGCAUGUCGCGGUGAAUACGUUCGCGGGGUUUGUACACACCGCCCGUCA